UAGCUAGUUGGUGGGGUAAGGGCCUACCAAGGCGACGAUCGGUAGCUGGUCUGAGAGGAUGGCCAGCCACACUGGAACUGAGACACGGUCCAGACUCCUACGGGAGGCAGCAGUGGGGAAUAUUGGACAAUGGGGGCAACCCUGAUCCAGCAAUGCCGCGUGUGUGAAGAAGGCCUGAGGGUUGUAAAGCACUUUCAGUGGGGAGGAGGAUUGACAGGUUAAGAGCUGGUCAAUUGGACGUUACCCACAGAAGAAGCACCGGCUAACUCCGUGCCAGCAGCCGCGGUAAUACGGAGGGUGCGAGCGUUAAUCGGAAUUACUGGGCGUAAAGGGUGCGUAGGUGGUUUGGUAAGUUAUCUGUGAAAUUCCCGGGCUUAACCUGGGACGGUCAGAUAAUACUGCUGAACUCGAGUGUGGGAGAGGGUAGUGGAAUUUCCGGUGUAGCGGUGAAAUGCGUAGAGAUCGGAAGGAACACCAGUGGCGAAGGCGGCUACCUGGCCCAACACUGACACUGAGGCACGAAAGCGUGGGGAGCAAACAGGAUUAGAUACCCUGGUAGUCCACGCCGUAAACGAUGUCAACUAGCUGUUGGUUAUAUGAAUAUAAUUAGUGGCGC
rnacentral:rRNA from 1 species